GACGAACGCUGGCGGCGCGCCUAACACAUGCAAGUCGAACGAGCGAGAGAGAGCUUGCUCUCUCGAGCGAGUGGCGAACGGGUGAGUAACGCGUGAGGAACCUGCCUCAAAGAGGGGGACAACAGUUGGAAACGACUGCUAAUACCGCAUAAGCCCACGGGUCGGCAUCGACCAGAGGGAAAAGGAGCAAUCCGCUUUGAGAUGGCCUCGCGUCCGAUUAGCUAGUUGGUGAGGUAACGGCCCACCAAGGCAACGAUCGGUAGCCGGACUGAGAGGUUGAACGGCCACAUUGGGACUGAGACACGGCCCAGACUCCUACGGGAGGCAGCAGUGGGGAAUAUUGCACAAUGGGGGAAACCCUGAUGCAGCGACGCCGCGUGGAGGAAGAAGGUCUUCGGAUUGUAAACUCCUGUUGUUGGGGAAGAUAAUGACGGUACCCAACAAGGAAGUGACGGCUAACUACGUGCCAGCAGCCGCGGUAAAACGUAGGUCACAAGCGUUGUCCGGAAUUACUGGGUGUAAAGGGAGCGCAGGCGGGAAGACAAGUUGGAAGUGAAAUCUAUGGGCUCAACCCAUAAACUGCUUUCAAAACUGUUUUUCUUGAGUAGUGCAGAGGUAGGCGGAAUUCCCGGUGUAGCGGGUGGAAUGCGUAGAUAUCGGGAGGAACACCAGUGGCGAAGGCGGCCUACUGGGCACCAACUGACGCUGAGGCUCGAAAGUGUGGGUAGCAAACAGGAUUAGAUACCCUGGUAGUCCACACCGUAAACGAUGAUUACUAGGUGUUGGAGGAUUGACCCCUUCAGUGCCGCAGUUAACACAAUAAGUAAUCCACCUGGGGAGUACGACCGCAAGGUUGAAACUCAAAGGAAUUGACGGGGGCCCGCACAAGCAGUGGAGUAUGUGGUUUAAUUCGACGCAACGCGAAGAACCUUACCAAGUCUUGACAUCCCUUGACAGACAUAGAAAUAUGUAUUCUCUUCGGAGCAAGGAGACAGGUGGUGCAUGGUUGUCGUCAGCUCGUGUCGUGAGAUGUUGGGUUAAGUCCCGCAACGAGCGCAACCCUUAUGGUCAGUUACUACGCAAGAGGACUCUGGCCAGACUGCCGUUGACAAAACGGAGGAAGGUGGGGAUGACGUCAAAUCAUCAUGCCCUUUAUGACUUGGGCUACACACGUACUACAAUGGCGUUAAACAAAGAGAAGCAAGACCGCGAGGUGGAGCAAAACUCAGAAACAACGUCCCAGUUCGGACUGCAGGCUGCAACUCGCCUGCACGAAGUCGGAAUUGCUAGUAAUCGUGGAUCAGCAUGCCACGGUGAAUACGUUCCCGGGCCU
rnacentral:rRNA from 1 species